GUUCCAGUAGUGCAAUUGGUUAGCACAUGGCACUUAUAUAGCAGUACACAGUAGAGCCAUACCAAGGUUGUGAGUUCAAGUCUCACCUGGAGCA
rfam:Alligator sinensis unplaced genomic scaffold scaffold939_1, whole genome shotgun sequence